UCAUCUGAUGCUGCAUAUACUACAACUGAAAUGACAGUGGAGAUUAGCAUGGUCUCUGAGCAACCAUGACAUUAAACUUGUGGAAUAUGCCAUAUAUUU
rnacentral:snRNA from 1 species